rnacentral:lncRNA from 1 species
AGGGGUGGAAAGGAGGGUGGUGAGAUUAUAUAAUCCCAGUGAGUAAACAAAUACCAUCUAAAAUAUCUAAAGCUGAGUAAAUGGAGACAGAUAAAAUAAUUUAACAUACUGUAAUUCAUCACAUUUCAACUCAUUUCAACCAAAUAAAAUCAAUUCAUAUAAAUCGAGUAAUCAAUAUGGCUUAUGAAUUUCUUAAAACUUUGGCUCGUGCCAAAAUCAUU